rnacentral:rRNA from 1 species
UUUUGGGCCACCUCCCAUCCGUGUCUAUUAUACCCUGUUGCUUCGGCGGGCCCGCCGCUUGUCGGCCGCCGGGGGGGCGCCUUUGCCCCCCGGGCCCGUGCCCGCCGGAGACCCCAACACGAACACUGUCUGAAAGCGUGCAGUCUGAGUUGAUUGAAUGCAAUCAGUUAAAACUUUCAACAAUGGAUCUCUUGGUUCCGGCAUCGAUGAAGAACGCAGCGAAAUGCGAUAACUAAUGUGAAUUGCAGAAUUCAGUGAAUCAUCGAGUCUUUGAACGCACAUUGCGCCCCCUGGUAUUCCGGGGGGCAUGCCUGUCCGAGCGUCAUUGCUGCCCUCAAGCCCGGCUUGUGUGUUGGGUCGCCGUCCCCCUCUCCGGGGGGACGGGCCCGAAAGGCAGCGGCGGCACCGCGUCCGAUCCUCGAGCGUAUGGGGCUUUGUCACAUGCUCUGUAGGAUUGGCCGGCGCCUGCCGACGUUUUCCAACCAUUUUUUCCAGGUUGACCUCGGAUCAGGUAGGGAUACCCGCUGAACUUAAGCAUAUCAAUAAGCGGAGGAAUUACUAGUGCGGGUCUUUGGGCCAACCUCCAUCCGUACUAUUAUACCUGUUGCUUCGGGAGGCCCCGC